AAAAAGGUCUUUCUCAAGACCAACAAAAAAACUAGUAUGACAAAA
rfam:Acyrthosiphon pisum strain LSR1 Contig20378, whole genome shotgun sequence.